GACGUAGGAGGCGAGCGUUAUCCGGAUUCACUGGGCGUAAAGCGCAUGUAGGCGGUUGGACAAGUCGUGUGUUAAAGCCCCUGGCUCAACUGGGGGAGGUCAUGCGAGACUGUGCGACUUGAGGGCAAGAGAGGCACGUGGAACUCCCGGUGUAGCGGUGGAAUGCGUAGAGAUCGGGAAGAACACCAGUGGCGAAGGCGACGUGCUGGGUUGCUCCUGACGCUAAAGCACGACAGCAUGGGGAGCAAACGGG
rnacentral:rRNA from 1 species